UCUGUGAAGAUUGAGGAUUCUGGAGGAAACUUUAUUUUUAUUGUCGUUUUACUUUGUAAGUGAAACACUCCUAUGCCUACAUUUCCAGACGAACCGUAUUUAGAGGCAUCUGUAAAUAUGUAAUUGUAUUCAGGGCAGUCUUGCUCACAGAAGUAAUUAAAAGUAAUCUUUGAGUGGGAAUCGCCCUUAUUUAUACCAAUAUUGAAUCUAAUGUCUGGAGAACUAUUUAGAGAUUCAAAAUUGGUUCCAAAUAAAGGGUAAGUUGACAAGGUGUGAGUUGGAGCUUGAAUAUUAAUAAAUUUAUUGAGCAAGCAAUGGCUGGUGAUUGAUGAAUGGAAUAAAGUAAAAGGUCAUCAGCAUACUGAAGGAUACAAAUCUGAUUACCUAAAGAAGCUUUCAUAUCAUGGGUAUAAAUAUUAUAUAAGAUGGGACUUAAGACUGAUCCUUGAGGGAGACCUCUCCAUAAGGUUCUGGUUGCAACAGUAGAGUCUUGUAAAAUUAGAGUAAUGUGUCUUUCAUAUAAAGUAUUUAUGAUAAAAUUUGAUAACAUUACAGGUACAUUCAAAUACUGUAGCUUUUUAUGGAGAACUGACAACACUACAUUGUCAUAAGCAAAUUGUACAUCUAAAAAUGUGGCAACUACAGAAUCAUUUCUUGAAAAAGCUAAAAAAAUGUCAGUGAUAAAGAUGGCAAUACUGUCCAAUGUACUCUUCCCUCGACCGAAACCAAAUUGACUGUCACAAAGCAAUUUAUGGCUUUCUAUAAACCAUUCAAGGCGAGUUUUCACCAAAUGUUCACAGAGUUUUAUCAAGACCGAAGAUAAUGCAUUAGGACGAUAUAAGUUUGCAUCAGAGGAAUUCUUAUUAGGAUAUAUUCAAGAGAGUGGUCACCUAAAUGAGAGAUGAAGGAAUAUGGGAUUCCAUCGUCACCAGGAGCAGAGUCUAUAACUGAAGAUAGUAUUCCUUUAAUUUCAUACAUAGAAAAUGGACUAUUGAGACCAGAGGGGUUCAUUGGCAUCAGAGGCAUAAUUAUUCUUUCAGGAACAGUAAUAGGGGCAAGUCUGUCCAGGAAUUGAUUAUUUAAUGAAGCCGGGAGAAAACCAGAAGAAGUUUCAGUAAAUGCACAUCUGAAUCUUCUAAUAUUUCGCCAUACCACAGAAGGACAGACAUUAGGGGAAAUAGAGAGACAAAAAGAUUUCCAGCUAUCUGCUUUUUUUCUUUUUGAAUAAUAAACUAGUGGCCUUGAAAGCAUCUGUAACCAGAUUAAAAUUCAGAUUUCAGAUGUACAAUUCUCACAAUAUUGAAGCUCAUCUUGUUUUCUUUUUUUAAUUGCAUCCGAACAUUCUUGAUCCCACCAAGGUGGAGAUGGAAUAAAGCCCAGAGCACCAUUUUUAAGUGGAAAAGUUUUGUCAGCUACCUCUAUUAAUAAUUUAGUUAGUGCUUCAGCACAAACUGAUUCUGAACCAUGUGAGAUAUUAGGAAGAGAAGUCAUAUUUUGUUCUAUAGGGGUUUUAAAGGUAUCCCAAUCAGCAUUAUUAAGUCGAUAUUUCAAUCUAGGAGAAUGUCUAAAUGGAAAAUUAAUAUGAAAAGGAAAUCUAAAAAGUAAAGCGAAGGGGUCACUACCAUAUGAAGAAGAAAGUGUAGACCAUGAAAUAGUGGAAGCUAAACUAGGAGUACAAAUGUUUAAAUCAGGGACACUUGAGCCUUCAUUGGGAGAGGUCCGCCGGGUCACAGAACCAUCGUUGAGAAAGCAAGGAUUAUGGGAGUCUAACAGUUCAAUUAAUGAAACUCCGUAUGUAUUGGUUGUUGAACUGCCCCCAGAAAUAUGUUGACUGUUAAAGUCGCCUAAUAAGAUAAAAGGCUUAGGAAGAGUAGAAAUGAUAGAAUCAAGUUCGACAAAGAUAGAAGAACUUGGAUGAGGGAUAUAUAUUGAAACAUAGCAGAUAUUAUUUACAAAAGCACCAAUAAUUGAAAAAUCAUUACUGUGAGAAGGAAUAGGAAAGUGAGAAAAAGGAAGAUGAUGUUUGACUAGUAAGGCAACCCCGCCAUACCCGUCAAUACGAUCUUCCCGGAGACAGGUAUAUCCAGAGUACCUAAAAGGAGCACUUGGUUUUAACCAAAUCUCCUGUAGAGCAAAGAUAAAAGGUUUAUAUUUAUUUAUAAGAUAAAUAAUAUCACUUUUCUUAGACGAAGCACUUCUACAGUUCCACUGUAGAGCUUUGGCUUGCUUGUCCAUUACUAAUAUAAUUUGGUAAGUUAACGAUAGUGUCAAUUAAAGGGGCAGCGUUGGACGGUGGAAGAAUAUUAGACUGUGAUAAAGUGUUAAUGAGAAUUUUAAUGAGGUCUGUAAUUGAUUGUAAUGUCAAUUCAUUAUGACUAUAUGAGUUUAAUGCACAACCAUUUCUGGGUGAGGGCAUAUCAUAGUCCUUAAUUAAUUCUUGUCGUGGUUUUUUGUCAUAACCUUUAGAUAGCUCAGGAACAGAUUUUGGUUUAAGAAAAACAGUCUUUUUGUAAGAGUUACUGAAAGGUUGUUUAUGAGGCUGUUCAUAUUGAGGAGUAGAAAUAGUAGAAGCCCCGACAUUGGAAGAAGAAAGUAAAGCAUCAACAUAAGAUAUUUUAGAAAUGGGUGCAUGAAUUUUAGAUGCUUCAGCUUACGAAAUAUAGCUCUUGGCCAUAAUUUCUUUAAUGGCUUUUUGGCGCUCAAAUUCUAGACAUCUUUUACUUGUGGCAAAAUGGGAACCUUGGCAUAUACAACAAUGAGCAUCUUCCUCUAGGAUAGAGCACUGGUCAGCAGUAUGGUCUUGGCCACACUUGAAACACUUUGGUUUUGACCUACAUAAUGCUUUUACAUGACCAAAUCUGCAACAAUUGUAACACUGUAUUGUGGGGAAAAUAUAAAGAUCCACUGGGAGAGCAGUGUAGCAAAUAAAAAUUCGCUUAGGAGAAUUUUCCCAUCAAAGAUACAUUUGAGAUUGUUACAUUAUAAUCGACCCCAGAGACUUCUCCGCCCCCAGGGUCAUCAGGCGGCUCCAUAAGGACCAAAAGUUAAGAAAAAAAAACUUACCAAUAAAACUCCUAAUUCACUUUUAAGUAAAAUUUAAACAAAUAAAACGUAAAAAAAACAAAUAUAAAUAUUUUUUAUUUUAGUUUUUUAGCUUAGAUAGAUGGGUGGACGAGCUCACAGCCCACCUGGUGUUAAGUGGUUACUGGAGCCCAUAGACAUCCACAACGUAAAUGCGCCACCCACCUUGAGAUAUAAGUUCUAAGGUCUCAGUAUAGUUACAACGGCUGCUGCUUCACCGUAGAAAUAGGCGGGGUGGUGGUACCUACCCGUGCAGACCCACAAGAGGUCCUACCACCAGUAAUUACGCAAAUUAUAAUUUUGCGGGUUUGAUUUUUAUUACACGAUGUUAUUCCUUCACCGUGGAGGUCAAUCGUGAACAUUUGUUGAGUACGUAUUUCAUUAGAAAAAUUGGUACCCGCCUGAGAUUCGAACAUCGGUGCAUCGCUCAACACGAGUGCACCGGAAGUCUUAUCCGUUAGGCCACGACGUUUCUCAAUUAUUAUACAAACUACACUAAACUACUGAUCCAAAUCCAAAAAAUAAAAUAAUAUAAUAUAAAAGUCGAAAAACGCGUACGUCUGCAAUCGAGUUUCCCGCGCUUCCCGAUACAUUUGGUUAUUACACUGGAAAAAUAUAGGGAUGCAAACUAAACAUCGAUGUUUGAAAACAAAAUAGCGGCGAAACGUCGUUGUUCAUGAACGAUGUUUUAUCGUACAGGAUAAGAUGUCCGGUAUCUUGAUAAUAUCCUGAAAAGCAACCCACGCUUUUUUUACAAUGAAUGAAUGAAUGAAUGAAUGAAUGAAUAAACUAUUUUUAAUUCAAAUUUAUUAAAAUAUAUUUUUCUAUUUUUUAGUUGAUUUUUCUAUAAAAGCGUAUUUUUUUUGUUUUUAAAAACUUUUUUUUAAAAUUAUAUUGACGUUUUACUUUUGAAAAUCGAUCUCCUAACAUCCAUGUUUUUUAUGAACUAUGUUGCGUCCCUAGUUUCUUUGUUUACCUAGUCGGUUUAUAGCUACUGGUCACAGUAAUAUUUUUGUAAAAGAUAUUUGGCAUUCAGGUUCUGAACUAGUUUUCUUAUUUUAUAUAUGUUUUUUUUUCUAUUGCCCUUGUCGGCAGACACGGCCCACAUGAUGGUGAGUGGCAGGGGCAGAGCCAAGCCGCUGCCUACCGCUGAGUACUCUCCACAAGCCUUUUUUGAAGAAGGACAAGUCAUACCGCUCGGGAAACAUCCUGGAGGGGAGCUCAUUCCAAAGCCGGAUGGUACAUGGUAAAAAAGAUCUCUGGAACCGAUUUGAAAAAAUCUUUGACUGUUUGGAAGCUACACUAUUCCCGAGUGUCAUUUUUGAAAAAAAUUAGGGAUCCUUACUAAAACUCCAAUUACAUAAUCCAAAGUGUAAAAAAUUAUCUAAAAUGUUCUUUACAUCGCGUGGCCUGCGAAAACGAUCGAUGUUACAAUAAAAUAUUGUACUACGACUUUGUAGAACACAUUAUUAUUUACAAAAAGUGUCACGACAGCAUAUAUCUAACAAUUAUAGUUAUGCCACAAUAA